UCGAACGGAAACCUUCGGGUUUUAGUGGCGAACGGGUGAGUAACACGUAAGCAACCUACCCUAAAGACGAGGAUAACCAUUGGAAACAGUGGCUAAGACUGGAUAGGAAGAUAAAAGGCAUCUUGUAUCUUUUAAAAGACCUAGUAAUAGGUAUGCUUUAGGAGGGGCUUGCGCCAUAUUAGUUAGUUGGUAGGGUAAUGGCCUACCAAGACGAUGAUGUGUAGCUGGACUGAGAGGUUGAACAGCCACAUUGGGACUGAGACACGGCCCAAACUCCUACGGGAGGCAGCAGUAGGGAAUUUUCGGCAAUGGAGGAAACUCUGACCGAGCAACGCCGCGUGAAUGACGAAGUACUUCGGUAUGUAAAGUUCUUUUAUCGAGGAAGAAAAGCAAAUGGCGAACCAUUUGUUUGCCGGUACUUGAUGAAUAAGCCCCGGCUAAUUAUGUGCCAGCAGCCGCGGUAAGACAUAAGGGGCAAGUGUUAUCCGGAAUUAUUGGGCGUAAAGGGUGCGUAGGCGGUCUAGUAAGUCAGUGGUGUAAUGGCAACGCUUAACGUUGUCCGGCUAUUGAAACUGCUAAACUUGAGUUAGAUAGAGGCGAGUGGAAUUCCAUGUGUAGCGGUAAAAUGCGUAAAUAUAUGGAGGAACACCAGAGGCGUAGGCGGCUCGCUGGGUCUUAACUGACGCUGAGGCACGAAAGCGUGGGGAGCAAACAGGAUUAGAUACCCUGGUAGUCCACGCCGUAAACGAUGAGUACUAAGUGUCGGGUUAAACCGGUACUGAAGUUAACACAUUAAGUACUCCGCCUGAGUAGUACGUACGCAAGUAUGAAACUUAAAGGAAUUGACGGGCCUCCGCACAAGCGGUGGAUCAUGUUGUU
rnacentral:rRNA from 1 species